GUGGGGAAUCUUGCGCAAUGGGCGAAAGCCUGACGCAGCCAUGCCGCGUGAAUGAUGAAGGUCUUAGGAUUGUAAAAUUCUUUCACCGGGGACGAUAAUGACGGUACCCGGAGAAGAAGCCCCGGCUAACUUCGUGCCAGCAGCCGCGGUAAUACGAAGGGGGCUAGCGUUGCUCGGCAUUACUGGGCGUAAAGGGCGCGUAGGCUGACAGUUUAGUCAGAGGUGAAAGCCCAGGGCUCAACCUUGGAAUUGCCUUUGAUACUGGCUGUCUUGAGUACGGGAGAGGUGAGUGGAACUCCGAGUGUAGAGGUGAAAUUCGUAGAUAUUCGGAAGAACACCAGUGGCGAAGGCGACUCACUGGACCGUUGUUGACGCUGAGGUGCGAAAGCCAGGGGAGCGAACGGGAUUAGAUACCCGUGUAGUCC
rnacentral:rRNA from 1 species